AUGCCCCCCGCCCCGUGAUGUCACAGCUCCUAAGACUACAUUUCCCAGAAGUCUGAGGGAAGAAAAUUCCGGGAACUCAUUAGGUGAUUUCUUCAGUUCCUGGAUUUGUGCCUGUUAGUGUUCUGGAGAAGUCCCACAAAAGACCACCAUCCACGAAUGCAAUUAGCAAAAAGGGCCCUGUAGUUCUGCUCUUGUAGUACCAAGGCUGAAGUUCCAGUACCUGUGGCCCCAGUGAAGCCGGCUCCUAGGAGAGUGGAUACAAAGAACUGUGCCUGGCACACAGAAGGGCCUCUGGACCCUGGGGACCUGAGAUUAGACUCAUCUAACACUUGGAAGACAAUGUGAUGAACAGCAGUUCACUAACAUCUCUGUCUCCUUUACCCCAGUGUCCAGAUUACAGCUUUGAGACCACUAAAUGAACUUACCUGUGCAAAGUUAUACAAGACAUGCUCAAUAUUAUUUGCUGGAUUGCUGCUUUGGGUCUCAGAUCAAAAGUCCUACUCAAGUUUUGUUUAAAAAUGUGCCAGCUCAUUGCCUCUGUCAAUACCCAUUGCAUGUAAACAAGAAACUGGAAAACAACAUUUCCUUUAGAGCAGCCUCUAUUGUUUUGUCGAGACGCUUUAAAAAAUAACCAUUGAAGUACUCCAAGUUGUAAGUUGUCAUACCAUCAAAUAAAUUUGCUAUUAUAUCUCCUGUGAAUGGAAAACCAGUUUAUAACUGAAGCAAGGGUACAAUAAAGUCAGCCUCUAGGGUAUGUUGUUGUUUGUUUUUUAGUCUUUGGGGGGGGGGGGCGCGCACAACCCAGUUGCAAAAUAAAUCACAUA